rnacentral:rRNA from 1 species
GACGAACGCUGGCGGCGUGCCUAAUACAUGCAAGUCGAGCGGACGGACGAGAAGUUUGUUUCAGUCAGGCAAGCGGCGACGGGGUGGUAAACCCUUGGCAACCUUCCUUUAAGACUGGGUAAAUUCCGGGAAAACGGGGCAAAAACCGGGAAAAUCUUUUGCUCCCCUGGGGUCAAGAUUAAAAGUCGGUUCUCGCGAUACCUAUCGCUUGAUCCGCGCUGCAUUAGGUAGUUGGUAAGGUAACGGCCUACCAAGGCGACGAUGCGUAGCCGACCUGAGAGGGUGAUCGGCCACACUGGAACUGAGACACGGCCCAGACUCCUACGGGAGGCAGCAGUAGGGAAUCUUCCGCAAUGGACGAAAGUCUGACGGAGCAACGCCGCGUGAGUGAUGAAGGUGUUCGGAUCGUAAAACUCUGUUGUCAGGGAAGAACAUAUGUCGGAGUAACUGCAGAGAUCUUGACGGUACCUGAUCAGAAAGCCACGGCUAACUACGUG